CGGGCCUUGUACACACCGCCCGUCACACCAUGGGAGUGGGUUGUACCAGAAGUAGAUAGCUUAACCUUUUGGAGGGCGUUUACCACGGUAUGAUUCAUGACUGGGGUGAAGUCGUAACAAGGUAACCGUAGGGGAACCUGCGGUUGGAUCACCUCCUUACC
rnacentral:rRNA from 1 species